AUGACUCUCAGCACCAUCCUCAUGUGGACGCUGCUCUGCUGCUGCUUCACAGGAUGCAGCGGUCAGGUGACGGUGACUCAAACUCCAGUACAGACGUUUACUCCAGGAUCCACUGUUACCCUGACAUGUACUACUAGUUCUGCAGUUUACAGAUGGAAUAAUGGUAAUGAGGGAAUGUCUUGGUAUCAGCAGACACCAGGACAGCCUCCAAAGCUCCUCAUAUAUUAUGUUAAACAACGCCAAUCAGGAAAUCCAGCUCGGUUUAGUGGCAGUGGAAGUGGCUCUGGUUUCUCUCUGAUCAUCAGUGGAGUUCAGGCUGAAGAUGCUGCAGUUUAUUACUGUCAGAGUUUCCAUGUCAUUAAUGGUGCCUAUGUGUUCACACAGUGAUUUAUGGUGGUACAAAAACCUCCUUCAGUCAGACUGCAGACGCUCUGAGCUGUUAGAGCAGAAACUGCAGCUGCAGAAGAGGAAGACUCUGAUACAGACA